AGUGAACGCUGGCGGUAGGCCUAACACAUGCAAGUCGAACGGCAGCACAGUAAGAGCUUGCUCUUACGGGUGGCGAGUGGCGGACGGGUGAGGAAUACAUCUGAAUCUACUUUUUCGUGGGGGAUAACGUAGGGAAACUUACGCUAAUACCGCAUACGACCUACGGGUGAAAGCAGGGGAUCUUCGGACCUUGCGCGAUUGAAUGAGCCGAUGUCGGAUUAGCUAGUUGGCGGGGUAAAGGCCCACCAAGGCGACGAUCCGUAGCUGGUCUGAGAGGAUGAUCAGCCACACUGGAACUGAGACACGGUCCAGACUCCUACGGGAGGCAGCAGUGGGGAAUAUUGGACAAUGGGCGCAAGCCUGAUCCUGCCAUACCGCGUGGGUGAAGAAGGCCUUCGGGUUGUAAAGCCCUUUUGUUGGGAAAGAAAAGCAGCAGGUUAAUACCCCGCUGUUCUGACGGUACCCAAAGAAUAAGCACCGGCUAACUUCGUG
rnacentral:rRNA from 1 species